GACGAACGCUGGCGGCGUGCCUAAUACAUGCAAGUGGGACGCAAGGAAACACACUGUGCUUGCACACCGUGUUUUCUUGAGUCGCGAACGGGUGAGUAACGCGUAGGUAACCUGCCUAUUAGCGGGGGAUAACUAUUGGAAACGAUAGCUAAUACCGCAUAAUAUUAAUUAUUGCAUGAUAAUUGAUUGAAAGAUGCAAGCGCAUCACUAGUAGAUGGACCUGCGUUGUAUUAGCUAGUUGGUAAGGUAAGAGCUUACCAAGGCGACGAUACAUAGCCGAACUGAGAGGGUGAUCGGCCACACUGGGACUGAGACACGGCCCCGACUCCUACGGGGGGGAGCAGUAGGGAAUCUUCGGCAAUGGACGAAAGUCUGAACGAGGAACGGCGGGUGAGUGAAGAAGGGUUUCGGAUCGUAAAGAUCUGUUGUAAGUGAAGAAAGUGUGUGAGAGUGGAAAGUUCACACAGUGACGGUAGCUUACCAGAAAGGGACGGCUAACUACGUG
rnacentral:rRNA from 1 species